GUGCUCGCUUUGGCAGCACCUAUACUAAAAUUGGAAUGAUUCAGAGAAGAUUAGCAUGGACCCUGAGAAGAAAAAAAAUAUCUUCCCAGAGUACCAGUCUAAACUA